AGAGUUAGCCGAUAUCGAUUAGCUAGUUGGUGGGGUACUGCUUAUCAAUAAGGACGAUCCGUAGCCGGUUUGAGAGGACGACCAGCCACACUGGGACUGAGACACGGCCCAGACUCCUACGGAGGCAGCAGUGGGGAAUUUUAAUGGGGAAACCCUGAUCCAGCCAUCCCGGCGUGUGCGAUGAAGGCCUUCGGGUUGUAAAGCACUUUUGGCAGGCAAAGAAAAUGGCACGGGAUAACAUCUCGUGCAACUGACGGUACCUUAGUUACACCGGCUAAUCACGCGCCGGCAGCCGCGGUAAUACGUAGGGUGCAAGCGUUAAUCGGAAUUACUGGGCGCAAAGCGUGCGUGCAGGCGGUUCGGAAAGAAAGAUGUGGAAACCCAGAGCUUGAACUUUGAACUGCAUUUUUAACUACCGAGCUAGAGUGUCAGGAGAGGGAAUUCGCGUAGCAGGAAAUGCAGAUAUGCGGAGGAACACCGAUGGCGAAGGCAGCCUCCUGGGAUAACACUGACGCUCGCACGAAAGCGUGGGGAGCAAAACAGGAUUAGAUACCCUGGUAGUCCACGCCCUAAACGAUGUCAACUAGCUGUUGGGGCCUUCGGGCCUUGGUAGCGCAGCUAACGCGUGAAGUUGACCGCCUGGGGAGUACGGUCGCAAGAUUAAAACUCAAAGAAUUGACGGGACCCGCACAAGCGGUGGAUGAUGCGGAUUAAUUCGAUGCAACGCGAAAACCUUACCUACCCUUGACAUGUCUGGAAUCCCGAAGAGAUUUGGGAGUGCUCGCAAGAGAACCGGAACACAGGUGCUGCAUGGCUGUCGUCAGCUCGUGUCGAGAUGUUGGGUUAAGUCCCAACGAGCGCAACCCUUGUCAUUAGUUGCUACGAAAGGGCACUCUAAUGAGACUGCCGGUGACAAACCGGAGAAGGUGGACGACGUCGGUCCCCGCUAGCCCGGUGGGUAGGGCUUCACACGUCAUACAAUGGUCGGGACAGAGGGUCGCCAACCCCGGCGAGGGGGAGCCAAUCCCAGAAACCCGAUCGUAGUCCGGAUCGCAGUCUGCAACUCGACUGCGUGAAGUCGGAAUCGCUAGUAAUCGCGGAUCAGCAAUGUACCAGGCAAUACGUUCCCGGGUCUUGUACACACCGCCCGUCACACCAUGGGAGUGGGUUUUACCAGAAGUAGUUAGCCUAACCGUAAGGAGGGCGAUUACUCACGGUGUAGACCAUGACUGGGGUGAAGUCGUAACAAGGUAG
rnacentral:rRNA from 1 species